rnacentral:rRNA from 1 species
GGAGACUGGAAUUCCUGGUGUACCGGUGAAAUGCGCAGAUAUCAGGAGGAACACCAAUGGCGAAGGCAGGUCUUUGGGCAGUAACUGACGCUGAGGAGCGAAAGCAUGGGUAGCGAACAGGAUUAGAUACCCUGGUAGUCCAUGCCGUAAACGGUGGGCGCUAGGUGUAGGGGUCUUCCACGACUUCUGUGCCGCAUCUAACGCAUUAAGCGCCCCGCCUGGGGAGUACGGCCGCAAGGCUAAAACUCAAAGGAAUUGAC